rnacentral:RNase_P_RNA from 1 species
GUCGGGCGGCCGCUGGCUCCGGAGUGAUCCGGGGCUGGAGGAAAGUCCGGGCUCCACGGAAACACGGUGCCGGGUAACGCCCGGCGGGGGCGACCCCAGGGACAGUGCCACAGAAAGCAAACCGCCCGUCCUACCCGGCGCGCCGGGACCUCGGGACGGGUAAGGGUGAAAGGGUGCGGUAAGAGCGCACCGCGACCCCGGCGACGGGGGCGGCACGGUAAACCCCACCGGGAGCAAGACCGAAUAGGGACGGCCGGCCGGGCGCGCUCUCGGGCGCGUGCCGGCGGACGCGUUUCCGCGUCGCCGUCCGGGUUGGUCGCGCGAGGCGGGUGGCGACACCCGUCCCAGAGGAAUGGCCGUCCAC